UACGGGGGGGGCUAGCGUUGCUCGGAAUGACUGGGCGUAAAGGGCGCGUAGGCGGCUCAUACAGUCAGAUGUGAAAUUCCUGGGCUUAACCUGGGGGCUGCAUUUGAUACGUGUGGGCUUGAGUGGGGAAGAGGGUCGUGGAAUUCCCAGUGUAGAGGUGAAAUUCGUAGAUAUUGGGAAGAACACCGGUGGCGAAGGCGGCGACCUGGUCCUUGACUGACGCUGAGGCGCGAAAGCGUGGGGAGCAAACAGG
rnacentral:rRNA from 1 species